rnacentral:rRNA from 1 species
GAUGAACGCUGGCGGCGUGCCUAAUACAUGCAAGUCGAGCGAACGGACGAGAAGCUUGCUUUUCUGAUGUUAGCGGCGGACGGGUGAGUAACACGUGGAUAACCUACCUAUAAGACUGGGAUAACUUCGGGAAACCGGAGCUAAUACCGGAUAAUAUUUUGAACCGCAUGGUUCAAAAGUGAAAGACGGUCUUGCUGUCACUUAUCGAUGGAUCCGCGCUGCAUUAGCUAGUUGGUAAGUUAACGGCUUACCAAGGCAACGAUGCAUAGCCGACCUGAGAGGGUGAUCGGCCACACUGGAACUGAGACACGGUCCAGACUCCUACGGGAGGCAGCAGUAGGGAAUCUUCCGCAAUGGGCGAAAGCCUGACGGAGCAACGCCGCGUGAGUGAUGAAGGUCUUCGGAUCGUAAAACUCUGUUAUUAGGGAAGAACAUAUGUGUAAGUAACUGUGCACAUCUUGACGGUACCUAAUCAGAAAGCCACGGCUAACUACGUG